AUUUGCUGAUGCUGCCGAAGGCAUCGUUCUGUUUUGGACUGGAAUGCUCCGCUGUUUUUCUUCUCCACAGCUCAAAUGAGGCAUGGUGUGGUAUAUACUGUGCACAGAGGGUGACAACACUUUCUGGCAGCAGAAUGGAAGGACAAAGCUCAAGAUGAAGGCAGGCCAGUGCCAGAACUCAGCUGCUUUUCCCCAGUGUCCAGCUAUAGCAUGCGCAAAGACCCGUGCCACCUGAAAAAGAACAGCUUUACCAAAACUGAACAGAAGAUUCACGCCUUCUCUUAAAAACAUCUGUUUAACCAUUGUACACAGGUAAGGAGAUCUAAUCAUUGGAACUGAGCAUCAGGAGACCUGCAUUCUGAAUCUGACUAUUGAUCAGAUGCAUCUUUGCAUAAAUCAUAAAUCUAUUUCGAACAUCAGAAAAGAAGGGGAUAGAAUUAUUCUGCAAUAGGACAUUUAUGCUAGAGCCAGCGCAAACUGGUUUAAAAAAGGAUUCAAGAAGAUUGUCAAUCUAACGGCCAGAUAGAAGGCUGGUGAAUAGAGAGGCGGACAAAGCUUAACGGUUGCAAAACUUUACUUACGCCGCUUGUAGCUGCAACGCAGACGGUCCGGUCGUCUGAACAACUGCACUAGUUGUUCCAGCUGGCAGGGCUCAGGCCAGCUCGUCCAUC